rnacentral:rRNA from 1 species
CCUACGGGGGGCAGCAGUGAGGAAUAUUGGUCAAUGGGCGCUAGCCUGAACCAGCCAAGUAGCGUGAAGGAUGACUGCCCUAUGGGUUGUAAGCUUCUUUUAUAUGGGAAUAAAGUGCAGUAUGUAUACCUCUUUGCAUGUACCUUAUGAAUAAGGAUCGGCUAACUCCGUGCCAGCAGCCGCGGUAAUACGGAGGAUUCGAGCGUUAUCCGGAUUUAUUGGGUUUAAAGGGAGCGUAGGCGGGUUGUUAAGUCAGUGGUGAAAGUUUGCGGCUCAACCGUAAAAUUGCAGUUGAUACUGGCAGCCUUGAGUACAGUAGAGGUAGGCGGAAUUCGUGGUGUAGCGGUGAAAUGCUUAGAUAUCACGAAGAACUCCGAUUGCGAAGGCAGCCUACUAAACUGUAACUGACGCUGAUGCUCGAAAGUGUGGGUAGCAAACAGGAUUAGAUACCCCUGUAGUC